rnacentral:rRNA from 1 species
CCCUUAGAUGUUCUGGGCUGCACGCGCGCUACACUGAAGCUAUCAACACGUUUUCCCUCCCUGAGAAGGGCGGGUAACCUUUUGAAUCAGCUUCGUGGUAGGGAUCGGGGCUUGCAAUUGUUCCCCGUGAACCAGGAAUUCCUAGUAGACGCGAGUCAUAAGCUCGCAUCGAUUAAGUCCCUGCCCUUUGUACACACCGCCCGUCGCUACUACCGAUUGAACGUUUUAGUUAGGCAUUUGGACCGACGCAUCUCAGUUUAACCGCUGGUUUGUGUUGGAAAGACUUCCAAACUUGAGCGUUUAGAGGAAGUAAAAGUCGUAACA